ensembl:lncRNA
AAUAGCCAUCUCUAAGUCCUUUGAGUCAGUCAAGUGCUUCUUUGGAUUUUUAUCUCCUUUGGAAUCUCCUGUGAAUUUUACUUUUAAGAUUACUCUGAAUUCAGCUUCUCCUUCAACAUUCAUUAAGCAAUCCAUGUAUGGCUUUGCCAAAAUCUACUUCAGCAUGGCACCUGCAUUCAGAAGUCACAUAUCAACAAGCCUCAACAUUUGCUUGUGGAAAGCAGAGUGUUGAUUUAAUUUGAACCCAUUAAGCCUCUCUUCCACUGUAUUAAAUACCUCCAUAUAUUUAUUUGCAGCAGUCAUAAGGUGUUCUAACUUCUGAGUCUUCCUUGCAAAGCAUUUCUGAGAGUGUUCAUCCAGCCUUGAUGGCUAAGUGCAGGACACACAGCAGAGCAGACCACGUUCCAGGCUGUAGGCCUGACAUCCCUGCUAAACCUCACCAAAGCCCUUUGAGGAUCCUGGGACUCCAUCUCAGAAUUAAGAUGGUGAUACUUCUUUGAAGCUGCAGGGGAUAGACUACUGCCAGAAGCACUGAAAACCCUGCUGGCUGUCUUAUCCCUGUUCUUGGCAACCUCUGCUUCCUGCCCAAGGUAGCUCAAUUUCCUGUAGCCGUGUUUACAUGAAACACAGAGGAAACAUUUUCUGUUUAUAUCUGCUGUUCUAACAAGCUUUGAGCCGUUUAUCACAACUGCUAUCGUGCUCUCUUCUAGGUGGUAGAGAACAGGGCACGGCCUGCCACAAGCACUUACGGGUGGAACAUGACUGUCAUACCAAAGGUGUCUGGAAUGGGGAGGAGCUGUUCGGCCCCUCCUGCACAUCCUCUCCUCCUUAUCUCCUGGAGGAGAGUUUCCCUGAAUGCAGACACCACACAGAGGAAUGACAAUUCUAGCUUGGGGCUGGGCAAGGACCUGGUGUUAAGCCACAAGAUAAGCAAGUGGAAAAGGCUUUCCGGAUGGCCCCUGACCAACCUCCUGCUUCAGGCAGGGCUAAUAACAGAAGCAGGGCAGGCUGCUGGCGUAUAUCAUCCCACACUAUAGUUGCCAGUCCCCAGAGCUAGUAUCACUUCCUAGGGGAGUCCCCUGAGCUCCGGAAUCUCCAAAGGAAGAGGAAAGUUCUGCAGAGAACGUCUCACUCUGUAGCCACAAGCCACCAAUUCUGCCUCCCAUCCACAGGGCAAGCCUUGCUUCUGGAAUUAAGAGAAUCCCACAGAGAGCCUGCCAGCCAGGUAGACACUAGUGCUAAACCUGCUCAGGUCCCCAGGGGCACACAGCCCACCCAGGACUAAACUCCCAGUGAAGAAGGUGGUCCCCACACACCUUAGAUCAUCAGCGCUUCCUUCCCCUGCCACCACCAUGUGUCAUGGAAAUGUUCGAGCAUCACCUCCCACCCAGCAGGGAAAGCAGUGCAGGCGGUGCCCACAGCCGUGCGGGAGGCAUGUGGUCUUCUCUGGAGCAGGCAAUAGAUCAGCCUGCACAACGGCACAGGGGGGGCUCAGGCUGUGGGUGCUACGUGGCAUCACCAGACACACUCAAUGCUGUCCCAGCAUUCACCUGGUCAAAGGGAAUGGGCACUGCU